rnacentral:tRNA from 1 species
GUUCAUUUAGUAUAGGUAAGUAUAUUAGGCUUCCAACUUAAAGGUUAAAAAGUAUUAAGUGAAUA